rnacentral:rRNA from 1 species
GCCUACGGGGGGCAGCAGUGGGGGAUAUUGCACAAUGGGGGGAACCCUGAUGCAGCGACGCCGCGUGGGCGAUGGAGCGCCUCGGCGCGUAAAGCCCUAUCAGCAGGGAAGAAGAUGACGGUACCUGGCUAAGAAGCCCCGGCUAAAUACGUGCCAGCAGCCGCGGUAAUACGUAUGGGGCAAGCGUUAUCCGGAUUUACUGGGUGUAAAGGGAGCGCAGGCGGCCUGGCAAGCCUGAUGUGAAAGGUCGGGGCCCAACCCCGGGACUGCAUUGGAAACUGUUGAACUGGAGUACAGGAGAGGUA